rnacentral:lncRNA from 1 species
GGCUCACACCGAACAACAAGCUAUAAAGGGCCCCAACAUUACUAGUGUUAAACCAUUCAAUCGGGAAAACCAACGGUCUAAUCUAUAUAAAAUAAAAAAAAACGAGAAACGAGAAACACGUAUACAUUACAUAAACAAACGACAACUACUGUACAUCAGAUUCCUGACUUAGGACAGGUGCAAACAUUUGCAGCGGGAUUAAACGUUUUAAUGGACCCAAACCUUCUCCCUUUUUUUGAAACAAUAUCAUAACAUCACAACACAGAAAAAACAUACGAUAAAAUAUCAAUUGGCAGGAUUAACUCAAUAAAAAAACGUACAUUAAUACACUAUGAACGAAUUAAUUUGAUCUGCGAUAUCUGAAUACAAAUGCACAGUUAAUAAAAUAUUAGGGACAAACAUU